rnacentral:rRNA from 1 species
GUAGGGUGCGAGCGUUAAUCGGAAUUACUGGGCGUAGAGCGUGCGCAGGCGGUUCGUUAAGACAGAUGUGAAAUCCCCGGGCUUAACCUGGGAACUGCAUUUGUGACUGGCGGGCUAGAGUAUGGCAGAGGGGGGUAGAAUUCCACGUGUAGCAGUGAAAUGCGUAGAGAUGUGGAGGAAUACCGAUGGCGAAGGCAGCCCCCUGGGCCAAUACUGACGCUCAUGCACGAAAGCGUGGGGAGCAAACAGGAUUAGAUACCCUGGUAGUCCACGCCCUAAACGAUGUCAACUAGUUGUUGGGGAUUCAUUUCCUUGGUAACGUAGCUAACGCGUGAAGUUGACCGCCUGGGGAGUACGGUCGCAAGAUUA